UACGUAGGGUGCAAGCGUUAAUCGGAAUUACUGGGCGUAAAGCGUGCGCAGGCGGUCCGUUAAGACAGAUGUGAAAUCCCCGGGCUUAACCUGGGAACUGCAUUUGUGACUGGCGGACUCGAGUAUGGCAGAGGGGGGGUAGAAUUCCACGUGUAGCAGUGAAAUGCGUAGAGAUGUGGAGGAAUACCGAUGGCGAAAGGCAGCCCCC
rnacentral:rRNA from 1 species